rnacentral:lncRNA from 1 species
CUGCACAUCGUGGUAACUACGGCAUGUCUGCACACAGGGAAGCCAGUGGGGUGGGAGAGAGGGAGGCGGCAGGAGGGAGCGGGGAACACGGAGUGGGCAGGAGGGCAUGAGCGCUUGUGCCAUGGGCUUUGCGGCCCUUCCGCAACAUUCCAAUGAGACACCAGGCCUGGCGAAGUCAACAUCCGCCCCCUUCCAGCAGUGCCCCUUAAAGCAUGGCACUGCACCAAGAAUAGGGGCGGGAAUUGGGGAAGGUGAAGAAGACCUGAUGAGGGUAACGGGCUGCCACCACGUCCAGGUAGCCCGGCAACGGUAGCACAGGGUGUCAGGCUGCAGAAGCCACCUCUGCCCAGCAAUGCCUCUCUCACUCAGCUACACGGUCAGCAGAUGAUUUACAUCCUCUAAUGAUUAUUUUUGGUCUCCUGUAUUCAGCGACGUCUGCUGCCACUUCCACCCUCCAUCAAGGUGACUUUGAUAGAGACAAGCAGCCCAUGACAAGAUGAGUGACCUGCAAGGUGCAAUCACCAGUGGCCACCCCAGGCCGUCCCAGGACAAGGCAGAUGGGGUCUGCUAGCCUCUCACGUUAAGACUGGGAAACGCAAAGCGGCGGGUAUGAUGCAGAAGAGCCGGGGGUCACGGUGGUCUCCUGGAGAAGACGGCACUGGAGGUAAAGCAUGACAGCAGCUAUGGGGAGAGAGGCACUGCAUAGCGACAGUUGUUUCGGAAGUUUAAGAUGCUUAAACAACCUCAAGGUCUACCAGCAAGUCAGAUUCGUGUUGGAUACCAUGAGACCUGGGAUUCUGUGCUACUUCCGCUGAACGAGGAACUGGCAGCCUAAUCUUGAUCCACACUUUCAAGGGCGAGGUGGAGAGGCCACCUUCCCAACACCUUAGGACUGGGCUGAACAUUAAACGCGGGGGAAACAGCAUGCACUGAAUCCCCGGUUACACUGGCCGCCGCUCCCUGCCUGAAGAACACCUCUGGGUGGCACCAUCCUUUCCUUUCCCUUGCUCCUCUUCCUCUGUUUCCACCUCCCACUCACCCCUUCCCCAGGCCAGUCAGAGCACUGCUAGAGUUAAUUACAAUAUUAUAAGACAAAUUAUAACAGCAGCACAUCUUGGAAAAGAAUCACAUCCACAUCUGACAGCCCUUUGGGGUGAUUCUGCUGUUCCC